ensembl:lncRNA
AGAGGGGCCAUCCCCAAGCUCAGGGAACACUUCCAGCUCUCUUGGAAGAGUCAGCAGGCUGACCUGCUAGCAAGGCUUGGAAGCUAUCCUGGUUUGAGCUGUACCGGACACCGGUCCACAAUCAGUGGGGAGGUUGCUCUGAGCCACAAAAGAGCCCUGCCCCGGACACCUGGAGCUCUGGAUUCUGGGCCCUGCUCUGCCGCAAAAUCACUCUGUGCUUGGCACCAGCCACUUAACCCUUGGGGUCUUAGUGCCCUCAGCUUCAUUCCUGCAUAUCUUAGGUCCCUGUUCAAUGUCCCUUUCUCAGAGAGGCCUUCCCUGAAUACCCAUCUAAAAAUAGCAUCCCUAGCUCUUUCCCGGUGCCCCUGUAUAAUCUUUCCCCUUGGCUCCUAUCACCACCUGCUAUAUUUUCUGGGUAUAUGUUUACUUUCUUUUUGUCUCUCUCCCUCCAUAGAAUGUAAACGCCACGCGGGGAGCAGCUUCAUCACCUACUGUUCCCUGCUCUGGGCCUUACAGUGCAUUCUCCAUCAAUAUCCAGUGGGUCACUCCAGUGGAAUGGACCCAGUCGACUGGUGCAGCAAUAGCAGCAGCUGCUGCAAAAUGCUUCUGAUUUACUGGGAAACUGCACUCCAAGGAGCCAUAUUAAUGCCAGCGAUAAACCUGGUCCCCCAGGAGCACCUGCAUUUUAAGGGAGGUGAGAGACACAUUCCAAGGGAACGAAUUUCAGAGACGGGAUUUCAGGCACAGCAGCAACAACCAGAAAGAGCUUAUGGGGUCCUGGGUCUUUCAAAUCACAUGCCAGAGGUGGCUUCCAGUGUCACUGACAUAAAAGGCUGCCUGGCAUUAGGUGGAUACAAAUGACAUUGCUGUGGAAAGGGGGUGUCUCAGGUCAGGUCCCCUAGAAGCAGACAGACAUGAGCAUUUCUGCACAAGUGGAGGUCUGGGAGAACCUGGGGAGGGAGUUGGUGAGACAGGAAGGGAAGUUGAAAAAGCCAAGCAAGGGUGUGACCUCAGGCCAUGUCCCUUGGAGGACCGUUUUAGCCAAGAGAGCUCUGAAGUGUUAACUUACGCUUCAGAGUGUAUCCCUACCUGAGGUGGGGAGGCCGGGCUUUCAUAGCCGUGACUCCUGAGGAUCUGGCUCGGUGGGAUGGGGAGGUGAGCUCUUAAGGGCCCCUCACAACCACAGCAGUGUUUGGGCUUGCCCCAAGGUCUUGAUGCUCACACCUACUCCAACUUGGGUGUUUCUGCUCUCAACAUGUGGGCUGGAUAGUAGGGCUGCCACAGCUUCCCCAUUGCCUUUUUUUUUUUCUUUUUAAAGAGACAGGGUCUCACUCUGUUGUCCAGGCUGGAGUACAGUGCUGUGAUCGUAGCUCACUGCAGCCUUGAACUUGUGGGCUCAAGCAAUACUCUUGCCUCAGCCACUCAAGUAGUUAACACUAUGGGGGUGUGGGUGCACUGCCAUACCUGGCUAAUUUAAUCACCCAUUAGUCACUGGCAAGUGCAGCCCAGGGAGGGGACAGAGGAUAGAAAUUCCCAGGCCCUUCCUGCUUUCUGCCCUGGCAGCAAAGUAGCUCCAGAAGCCCAAAGGCAGUUCUUUGAAAAAGUGUCAGGGGCACUGGUUAUCAGAAGGUAAAGUGCGCUGCAGGCCAACACCCCCUCCCUCCACAUGAACAGGGUAAAAAGACUCCUGAGGAUCUGGCCCAGUAGGAUGGGGGAGGUGGGCCGUUAAGGGCCCCUCACCACCGCGGCAGUGUUUUAUCUUGUGGAGUGAAAAGAUUUCUCAUAUUCUACCACCUGGCCACUCUCCAGGUUCCCAUGGAAACAUCAAUUUAUCCUAGUCACCCCCGGUUCAAAGCCCAUGAUCAUGGGCAGAUGGAUGGGUGGGCUUGCCCCAAGGCCUCCAUACUCACACCCACUCCAACUUGGGCGUUUCUGCUGUCAACAUGUGGGCUGGAUAGUAGGGCUGCCGCAGCUUCCCCAUUGCCUUUUUUUUUUCUUUUUAAAGAGACAGGAUCUCACUCUGUUGUCCAGGCUGGAGUGCAGUGCCCAUGAUCAUAGCUCACCACAGCCUUGAACUCCUGGGUUUGAGUGAUAAUCCUGUCUCAGCCUCCCAAGUAGUUAGGACUACAGGGGUGUCGGUGCACUGCCACGCCUGGCUAAUUUAAAGAAAAAUUUUGUAGAGGCAGGGUCUUGCUUUGUUGCCCAGACUGGUCUUGAGCUCC